AAAAAAAGAGAAAAAAAAAGGUGUUGAUGUUUUUUUUUUUUUUUUUUUUUUUUUUUUUUUUUUUU
rnacentral:ribozyme from 1 species